rnacentral:rRNA from 1 species
GACGAACGCUGGCGGCGUGCUUAACACAUGCAAGUCGAACGGAAAGGCCCUUCGGGGUACUCGAGUGGCGAACGGGUGAGUAACACGUGGGUGAUCUGCCCUGCACUUUGGGAUAAGCCUGGGAAACUGGGUCUAAUACCGGAUAGGACCACGCGCUUCAUGGUGUGUGGUGGAAAGCUUUUGCGGUGUGGGAUGGGCCCGCGGCCUAUCAGCUUGUUGGUGGGGUAAUGGCCUACCAAGGCGACGACGGGUAGCCGGCCUGGGAGGGUGACCGGCCAGACGGGGACGGAGAUACGGGCCAGACUCCUACGGGGGGCAGCAGUGGGGAAUAUUUCACGAUGGGCGCAAGCCUGAUGCAGCGGCGCCGCGUGAGGGAUGACGGCCUUCGGGUUGUAAACCUCUUUCGCCAGGGACGAAGCGCAAGUGACGGUACCUGGAGAAGAAGGACCGGCCAAUUACGUGCCAGCCGCCGCAGUAA